ACUGGCUUGGUCCAUACUCCUCGUCAUCUACGGCUUUAGGCUGCUGGCCCUGCUACAUUCCUGCAUUGGCCUUAGCUGAUCACCACUUUCUUCGAGGUCUGCACCUUGGCCGAGAGAGGAGCAGCGAAUUCCCUGUCCUCCCUCACCCUGCGUCCUGAGCCAUCUCCCAACUCCUCAAAGCCCCUGGAGACCAUGCUUCAACCAGACGCAGGCCAUUCUCCCCCAUUUCCAUUCUGAAACCACUCACUCCAGGCCUUUCUUCACCUUGGAGUCUUGGCCCAAUAAAA
rnacentral:lncRNA from 10 species